AUGAGUGACCUGGGGCUCCUCUCCUUCUAUCUAGGGAUUGAGGUGCACCAGGACCACUCCGGGAUCGCGCUUCGACAGUCCGCCUACGCCAAGCGCAUCGUUGAGCUAGCUGGGCUCACCGACUGCCAUCCAGCUCUCACUCCGAUGGAGGAGAGGCUGAAACUGAGCCGCGACAGCACGACGGAGGAAGUGGAUGCUACGCAGUACCGACGCCUUGUGGGGAGCCUUCGCUACCUCACUCACACACGGCCGGACUUGGCAUUCUCCGUCGGCUAUGUCAGUCGGUUCAUGGAGCGACCAACCUGGCAAUCGGUCAAGCAGCAGGUGGUGGCCCUGUCCAGCUGUGAGGCUGAGUACAUAGCGGCCUCCACCGCCUGCACUCAGGCGCUCUGGCUUGCUCGACUGCUUGGUGAUCUUCUCGUUCAAGACACCAGAACGGUGCAGCUCCUGGUGGACAGCAAGUCCGCCCUGGCCCUGGCAAAGAACCCCGUGUUC
rnacentral:rRNA from 1 species